UAAAAGUUAGUUAAAAUUAACAUUUAGAUGUCAACUAAAAAUUAUAAAUAUUAAAUCAUAAAUUUUAUACUUUUAA
rnacentral:tRNA from 1 species